GACAGAGGGUGCAAACGUUGUUCGGAAUCACUGGGCAUAAAGCGCACGUAGGCGGUCCGUUAAGUCAGGUGUGAAAGCCCCCGGCUCAACCGGGGAAUGGCAUUUGAUACUGGCGGGCUCGAGGAUGGCAGGGGUGAGCGGAACUCCAGGUGGAGCGGUGAAAUGCGUAGAUAUCUGGAGGAACACCGGUGGCGAAAGCGGCUCACUGGACCAUAUCUGACGCUGAGGUGCGAAAGCUAGGGUAGCAAACGGG
rnacentral:rRNA from 1 species